AUAGAAAAGUCUUCAGUGGCAAAUACAAUCUACUUGUUAAAUUUGUGUUUACAGAGUUCAGUGAUGCGAGUUAAGUAUAGGUGGACAUUUUUCUUUAUAACAAAGACUACAAAUCUGAACUCAGUAUACAUGUGAAUUGAAGCAACAAUAAUAAUUUCAAUAAUAAUGAGAAUGUGAGAUUACGAUUUACGACGAAAUUAACAGUAUUUAAGUGUGUGUCAGGUAUUUUAACGAGGUCAUUUUGUGUUUUGUAUUUGGUCCUUCCUUAAACCUUCUUUAGUUUAGGGCUUACUGAAUUCCAGAAGUCGAGUCAGUUGUCGUGUUUAGUCCAAUCUUUUUAGAACAACAAUAUCGUGUUUAUUUCCACAAUGGCAGAGUCUACAUUUUUGGGGAAAUUCCACUCAGAGACUGGAAUACACAGCGCAGAUUUUAUGAAAAUAUGGUUAAAGUAUGACACUGACAAAAACGGUUACAUUGAAAAAGAAGAACUGGAU